rnacentral:lncRNA from 1 species
UAUUUUACCCUUAUAUAUAAUUACCGUUAAGAACAAAAGCAUUCAAAAUAAAAACUUAAAUUUGCUCACUACACUCCACGUACAUUCUUGCAAUCAUAAUCAGAUUAUUUGUCAAACCAUCAUGUUCCUACAAUCCCAACAAGUUUGUACGCUUAUAUUUGUGAAAACGUACCUAGUAUUUAUUCAUGAAGGGUGAGACUGAAGUUAGGGAGGCUUCGAAUGAGGUAUGAGUGAAUUUUUUUUGCAUUUUUCGAGUGUUGAGUUGCAUGGUAAUCGCUAGUUACGUUCGGCAGGCCAGUACCAAAUGCGAUAGGAAAAUUCAGUGGCCUUCUACUGAAACAUUGAACCUAUUUAGUUGUACGUGAUCGACCGUUAACUUAGGAUACAAUGGAGUUCCUGGGAAUGGGUUCGGUAUCGUAUGACUGAGUUGUACCAAGCGUGUGUGGAUGAGUUUAAACAACUUUCGGGAGUAAAGAAUGUAGCUACUACAGAUACAGUGAUCAUAAUGACUAAAUAAAAUGUACCCACUGCGGAUACGUUGGCCCUUAAUACUGAAGAGAUUAUAAAUUUAUGACACUUGAGAUACUUAUUAUUUUUGUAUAGUCAAAAGUUGAUAUUGAAGAUGUAUCUUUCCCCUUAAAAUAAAGCCCAUUUUCUUAUGCUUUCCUACUGUUAUAAAGCCCAUUUGCUACUUUUUUUAUAAAAAAAAAAAAAAAAAAAAAAAAGACAUUAGACCAUAAAUACUGAAUAAAUCCUUAUUGAUUUGGUGGAACGGCAUCGACAAACAAUACCAAAAUUCGGUACAAAGUUACUGAAACUGAAUGCAUCAUUAUAAUUUGGUGGAACACCGACAAAAAAUUCUCAAAACACCCAAAGUACCAUGAGUUCUAAUACAAACAUGCAAAAAUUUCUCAAAACAACUAAAGUACCAUGAAUUCUAAUACAACCAUGCGAACAAUUUAGUUAUUCGUGACAACGUUGGCAUGUCAUGGUAGAGAUGGCUCAGUAGGUUCGGCAUCUACCUCAACAUUAGUAUCAAGAGUACCAGCUACAUUUUGAACCUCUGUAGUAUCCUCGGAGUAGUCUGGGGGACCAUGCUAGGGUUGUUCCUCUUGAGAAGCUAACCUCGCCACUCUAUGUCUCCUGGUUGAGGCUUUGGGACGCUCUCUAUAAGGUCAAGAUGAUGCAGCCUCAGUAGUACCUCUACUAGUCCUCUUCAUAUAUGAAAAACAAUAUUAAGUACAAACUCAGUAAUGAAUUCGG